CAGAAACUCAGAGAAGGUCUUUGGAUCCAGCUCUUUUCCCACACCCCUUUCCCCCAGCCCUCCGGCAAUGAUGGAGAAGAGGCAGCAGCUGACACAAGUCAGGAAGGAAGAAUGCUCGUGAAGAUUAACGUUGCUGAGAUUAGAGCGAAGUUCGACUCCAAAGACCUUAUUUUCUGCUGCCUUCAGAGUGUAUCCCUGAUACUGGCCGCUGCCCAGCUGCUGGAGACCCUGGGGGCUGAGAGUCUGAGGCUCCAACGUCGCAAUUCAAACCCCAAAGCACAGCGGAUUUUCAUCUGGGUUUCAGAGGAGUCAUUAUCUUCAUUUGGUUUCUGGACACUGGCGCUGAGCCCCCCCUGACCCCCCCAGAGAUAAGAACAGACAGAAUGUGUUCCAUCUUCCCAAAGAUGCUACAUCAGCAUGUAUUUCCCACUUAAAGCUUUUAAGCGUUUGACUUACACAUUUGUGAACACCCCCAGUGGACUGUUAGGGUUUGGUUUAAUCCCCAAGAAAACUGGCAUUAAAAUAGACCUUUUCCCGGCAAUAAUAAUCUCAUUU
rnacentral:lncRNA from 1 species